GAGUUUGAUCCUGGCUCAGGAUGAACGCUGGCGGCGUGCCUAACACAUGCAAGUCGAGCGCGACUGAUUUGAUGCUUGCAUUAAUGAAAGUUGAGCGGCGGACGGGUGAGUAACGCGUGGGUAACCUGCCCUAUACACAUGGAUAACAUACUGAAAAGUUUACUAAUACAUGAUAACGUAAUUUUUCGGCAUCGAAGAAUUAUCAAAGCGUUAGCGGUAUAGGAUGGACCCGCGUCUGAUUAGCUAGUUGGUGAGAUAACUGCCCACCAAGGCGACGAUCAGUAGCCGACCUGAGAGGGUGAUCGGCCACAUUGGAACUGAGACACGGUCCAAACUCCUACGGGAGGCAGCAGUGGGGAAUAUUGCACAAUGGGCGAAAGCCUGAUGCAGCAACGCCGCGUGAACGAUGAAGGUCUUCGGAUCGUAAAGUUCUGUUGCAGGGGAAGAUAAUGACGGUACCCUGUGAGGAAGCCCCGGCUAACUACGUGCCAGCAGCCGCGGUAAUACGUAGGGGGCUAGCGUUAUCCGGAUUUACUGGGCGUAAAGGGUGCGUAGGUGGUCCAUCAAGUCGGUGGUUAAAGGCUACGGCUCAACCGUAGUAAGCCUCCGAAACUGUUGGACUUGAGUGCAGGAGAGGAAAGUGGAAUUCCCAGUGUAGCGGUGAAAUGCGUAGA
rnacentral:rRNA from 1 species